UACGUAGGGGGCAAGCGUUGUCCGGAAUCAUUGGGCGUAAAGAGCGUGUAGGCGGCCCGAUAAGUCCGCUGUGAAAGUCCAGGGCUCAACCCUGGGAUGCCGGUGGAUACUGUCGGGCUAGAGUCCGGAAGAGGCGAGUGGAAUUCCUGGUGUAGCGGUGGAAUGCGCAGAUAUCAGGAGGAACACCGAUGGCGAAGGCAGCUCGCUGGGACGGUACUGACGCUGAGGCGCGAAAGCGUGGGGGAGCGAACAGG
rnacentral:rRNA from 1 species